UUGAACGCUGGCGGCAUGCCUUACACCUGCAAGUCGCACGGCAGCAUGAUCUAGCUUGCUAGAUUGAUGGCGAGUGGCGGACGGGUGAGUAAUACAUCGGAACGUGCCCUGUAGUGGGGGAUAACUAGUCGAAAGAUUAGCUAAUACCGCAUACGACCUGAGGGUGAAAGUGGGGGACCGCAAGGCCUCAUGCUAUAGGAGCGGCCGAUGUCUGAUUAGCUAGUUGGUGAGGUAAAGGCUCACCAAGGCGACGAUCAGUAGCUGGUCUGAGAGGACGAUCAGCCACACUGGGACUGAGACACGGCCCAGACUCCUACGGGAGGCAGCAGUGGGGAAUUUUGGACAAAGGGCGAAAGCCUGAUCCAGCAAUGCCGCGUGUGUGAAGAAGGCCUUCGGGUUGUAAAGCACUUUUGUCCGGAAAGAAAUGGCUCUGGUUAAUACCUGGGGUCGAUGACGGUACCGGAAGAAUAAGGACCGGCUAACUACGUG
rnacentral:rRNA from 1 species